rnacentral:lncRNA from 1 species
GUGUCUUUCUGCCACAUUCCUGUCCCAAGCUGCCCUGAGGCUGCCUCCUCACUGGGCUGAGGCCCAGGGAACCAUCUGGAACCAGGUCUUAAUCCAAAGGUUGCUCUCAGCUUCCUUUUUGUGGUUGUGAUGUGAACUCAGCUUCCUGCUCUUGCUGCCAGGCCUCUUGACCAAGACAGACCCUUAUCUCUCCGGAACCGGUCUCAUGGUAUAGUUAUGUCGGGAGAUCAGGCUGGCCUCCAGCUUGCAGCAAUCCUCCUGUCUCUUCCUCUGGAGUACCUGGGUCACCACACCUAGCUUGAAGUCUUUAUUGGUAUGGAAGCUUCCCUCUCUGCACUGGGAGGAGAGGAGCUGGGAUUCUGAAA